CCUACGGGUGGCUGCAGUGAGGAAUAUUGGUCAAUGGACGAGAGUCUGAACCAGCCAAGUAGCGUGAAGGAUGACUGCCCUAUGGGUUGUAAACUUCUUUUAUAUGGGAAUAAAAUGUUCCACGUGUGUGAUUUUGUAUGUAUCAUAUGAAUAAGGAUCGGCUAACUCCUUGCCAGCAGCCGCGGUACUACGGAGGAUCCGAGCGUUAUCCGGAUUUAUUGGGUUUAAAGGGAGCGUAGGUGGUUUGUUAAGUCAGUUGUGAAAGUUUGCGGCUCAACCGUAACAUUGCAGGUGAAACUGGCAGUCUAGAGUACAGUAGAGGUGGGCGGAAUUCAUGGUGUAGCGGUGAAAUGCAUAGAGAUCACGAAGAACACCGAUUGCGAAGGCAGCUCACUGGACUACAACUGACACUGAGGCUCGAAAGUGUGGGGAGCAAACAGGAUUAGAUACCCUGGUAGUC
rnacentral:rRNA from 1 species